GCGCGGGUAGCUCAGUGGUAGAGCGUUCGAUUGCAGCUCGAA
rfam:Phytophthora nicotianae strain race 0 contig4781, whole genome shotgun sequence.